rnacentral:rRNA from 1 species
UUUUUUUCUUGCUUUUUUGGAUUCCCCCCUAAAAAGGGUGGGCGCGAAAUUUUCCUUUUUUUAUCAAGGGGUUCCCCUAGUAAUGGCGAGUGAAGAGGGAAGAGCUCAAAUUGAAAGCUGGYMCYKCCGGUAUCCGCGUUGUAACCUCGAGACACGUUUUCCKUGCGGCGCUAUGGACAAGUUCCUUGGAACAGGAMAUSGUAGAGGGUGAAAAUCCCGUACUUGCCAYGGAUGUACCGUGCUUUGCGAUACGUGCUCUWAGAGUCGAGUUGUUKGGGAUUGCAGCUCAAAAAUGGGUGGUAGACUCCAUCUAAAAGCUAAAUAUCGGGGAGAGACCGAUAGCGAACAAGUACCGUGAGGGAAAGAUGAAAAGCACUUUGGAAAGAGAGUUAAAAGUACGUGAAAUUGUCGAAAGGGAAGCGCUUGAAGUCAGCCAUGCCGCUCARGACUCAGCCUGGCUUUUGCUUGGUGUAUUUYCYGGGGUAGCAAGUCAGCAUUGGUUUUGGAUCGUCGGARAAGCAUAGUCRGAAUGUGGCGCCCUCGGGCGUGUUUAUAGCCUUCUWUGGAUACAYRUWMGAYCWAGSAACKCASCGCGCCUUAUGGCGGGUCUUCGGACACCUUCGCGCUAAGAAGCGGGGGAAAUAGUAGGAGAGGGGUUAAACCCCCCCCAGGGUCCCCCUUAAAUAUA